UUUUCCCCGGAGAUUAGAUCUUUCAUCAACCAUAUUCUACAGGGAACAGCAAACUCGAGACCUUUUCACACCUGUAUGUAAACAUCAGCAAGAACUGGUACAUAGAACAACCUGCAGGUCAUUUCUUCAUGCAGAAGCUGCAGAGUCCCUUCAAAGCAAACAUCCCUUCUACAUAUGGCCACCAGCGCAGGCUUUCAAAACUGUCUUCUAACUCUCUCCCUGCUUCCUGUCUGCCUUAUGCCCUCAACCACAAUCAUCUACUUUGCAUACACAUCUGCCACUACUUGCCAGAUUACAAUCAGGUUUUCUUACCUAUAAAAUUAGAGAUAAUAUCUGUACCUAUUUUAUAAGUAUUGUCAGUGACUGUAUUAAUCUGUUCUAAUUUAUAAAGGAAAAUAUCUAAUUGACUCACAGUUCCACAUGCCUGGGGAGGCCUCAGAAUCAUGGCAGAAGGCAAAUGAGGAGCAAAGUCACAUCUUCCAUGGUGGCAGGCAAAAAAACUUGUGCAGGGGAGCUCCCAUUUAUAAAAUCAUGAAAUCUGGUGAGACUUAUUCACUACCAAGAGAACAGUAUGGGGGAAACCACCCCCAUGAUUCUAUUAACUCCACCUGGUCCCACCCUUGACACACGGGGAUUACUACAAUUCAGGGUGAGAUUUGGGUGGGGACACUGCCAAACAAUAUCAAUCACACUACUGUCAUUAUCUGGCACCCAGAGUGAAGCAUUUUGUAACAAUAUUAUUAAAUAUUACAAAAGUAGUUUCAUUAAUAACCAUAAAAUAAGGUGAAUAGUAAUAAUACCCAGAAAAAAAACACAGUGAUCAUUUUAUUUUAUUGAAUUUUGUAUAUAUAUAAUUAUGCCAGCAAAUUAAACAUAAUUAUAAUAGAGUAAUAAAUUAAUAUUUUUAAAUUACAUUGAUUUUUUGAUAAAAGGGAGAGUAUAUAUACCUAUGUAUUAGUCGGUCACAAAAAUGAAGAAUUAAGUAACAAUUAAAUAGAAUAAGGCAUUUUAAUUCUAAGGAUAUUAUUAAAAUGCAGUAAACUAUUUUCUGUACCAGGCACAAUAGCCCAUCAUGCAUUUCUCACUAUUUCAUUGUUUGAAAUUUUAAACUAAUAAAAACUUCAACUGACCAUACACAAUGACAGAAUAAAAGCCACUCAAAACUCACAGUAUCAGCAAUUAUAGGAUUUAAGCCAACAAAUUAUUUGUUUCAGGAACUACUAUUUUAUCAUUGACAUUUUAAAGAGUUACCAAUAUUGGUUACAUGGGGAUAACAAUAGUUUUACAAUUGUUUUUAAAUUUUUGACAGAAAAAUGCAACUUCUUAUUGCCUACGUAAAAGGGCAGACAGACAUCACUGGCUGGCCUGUGGUAUGUUGCUACUUGGAUGCUGGGGAGGUUAAACUGGAUUAACAUCUAAAGUAGUUAGAAGAGGGCCUGACAUACAGUAAAUGCUCCAUAAACUUUGUUAUUACUAUUAAAUAAUUAUGAUGCCUCAAAAUACUGUCUAUGCUAAAUAUAUUUUGAACACAAGGCCUAAUCUUAUUGGUAUAUUUAAGACCAUCUAUUGUCUGGUCACAUUCUAACUCCUAGUUAUUUAUUUCACUUAAAUGAGUGAAGAAAAUCCCCCAGUAACACUGAAAUUUUUAUUCUUAAUCAAAUGUAUCAUUCAUUCACUGCCAGGUCUCCUCUUAUUUUCUUGCUGGCAAGCCUUGGUUCCCCUUUUAUUUCCUGAGGACAACUUCAUUCUUCAUUCCUCUGAUUCCUGCUCACUUUUAUCAACUUUACUGCUCAGAUAGAAGAUUCAUCAUCCAUCCGUCCAUCCAUCCAUCCAUCCAUCCAUCCAUCAGUCCAUCAGUCCAUUAGUUUUCUCAUCUACUAUCAGAAUGCUUGCAAUGCUCAUAGCAAUAUUCUGGAAGAAAAGCAUGAACAAAAACGUGAUUACUAUCUCAAUCAGCAAGAGUCUGCUGGGGAAUAUAGAGAAGUGGCAAUUACAAUUCGCUAAUUUUAGUGCUAUCUUUAGAUAUAAGAAUGGAGUGCAAUGGGAAGAAUACUUGGGAGGGUAAUUUAAAGUUUGGGAGUUCACAGAAGGCUUCUUAAAGGGUAUCAGAGGUACCUAACCUGAAAUCUGAAAUCUGCCCCAGCAGAAAGGGGUUAAUAAAUGGGAAGAGUGGGGAGAGUGUCCCAGAAUUAUCAGGAGCAUGAAUUAUAGGUUGGGGGAAAAAUAUACAGAGAGAACUAAAAAGAGUCUUGUGUUUUGUAGGACAGAGAAGAAACGUGAGAAUGGUGAACAAACUCUGGAGUGGUAAUCUGAGGCCAUAUACAAAGCUCUGUCAAUCCUAUGUUCAGGAGAGUUUGGGUAUAGGCUGUGAGCAAGAAGAGGCCACUGAAGGUUGUUUUUUUUGUUGUUUUUUUUUUUGUUUUUUUUUUUGAGAUGGAGUCUCACUCUGUCACCCAGGCUGGAGUGCAGUGGCGCGAUUUCGGCUCACUGCAACCUCCACCUCCCGGGCUCAAGCGAUUCUCCUGCCUCAGCCUCCUGAGUACCUGGGAUUAUAGGUGCACACCACCAUGGCUGGCUAAUUUUUGUAUUUUUAGUUGAGUUGGGGUUUCACCAUGUUGGUCAGGCUGGUCUCAAACUCCUGACCUCAUGAUCCACUUGCCCCAGCCUCCCAAAGUGCUGGGAUUAUAGGGGACCGCACCCAGCCCCACUGAAGGGUUUUAAGUGGAGAAGUUAUUUGAUUUACAGUUUUAAAUAUGACUCUGUUAGUAGAAUAUAGAUUAAAGCAGGAAAAUACUCAUGAAGAAAGACUACUUUGGUUGUUGUAAGGAUCUUAUCAUGAGAUGAUGGUGACUCCUUUAAAAUGGGACAGUGGAAAUGUACUUUAAGGAUUUAGAAGUACAAUGUACAGUAACUAGUGAUUGGAUAUUGGUAGCUAAGGACAGGAAGGGAUAAAGGAUGGUUUCUGGAUUGACUUCCCUGAUGGACAGUAACACCAAUUACUGAGAAGGAGGAGAUCUGAAGAGAUGAUGCUGGUCACCAGGAUUGGUCGUAUUGCUGGUAGCAGGUUUUGAAGAAGGAUGAUGAGCUCCAUUUUGCUUUUGUUCAGUGUGAGAGGUCUAUGGAACAUGAAGUUGGAAGUGCCAAGGGAACUUCAUUUGGAAUUCAUUCAUUAAGAGACUAGAGUGAGAAUAAGCUGUCAAAAACCGUGUAAAGGGUGUGAGGAGAAUCUGGCUGAGUACAGAGCUCUGAGUCAUGCCAGAGUUACAGGAAUGGCAAGCGAAGAGAAGCCAGCAAAAUAAACUGGUUAGUGGACAAAGAGGUGCAAGGAAAUCUUGAGAAAAAUGAUGUUGGGACAACUAUUUUUGACAUUUAACAUUCAUUAGAAUUCUGUAUACAUUUAUUCAUUUUCUUGACUAGAAUUCCAUCUUUUGAGGACAGGAAGCAUGCUUUUGUAUGCCUAGUAUAUAUCAUAGUACCCAACACACCUUAGGUUCUCAGUACAUGUAAACUGAUGGACAAAGAUACCUAUAGUGCCCCAAAAUAGAGAUAAGUUUUCAGUCUGUUAUUUUUCUGAAACAGCUAAACAUAUAAGUGAUCAGGACUGGUGAAUUUAGAUAGAGCUAGUGUUGUCUGCUGGAGAGAGUAUGUGAGCAUGUUAUUCCUCAUUGUGAUAGUUUACACUAAUCUGAAUGAUCUAAACGUGAGUAACCCUGGCUUUUGGUUAAAAGCCCUAAAAUAGAUGGCAAGUUGCAAUUGUGCAGAAGAAAAGCAGUCCGUGAAAGAAAUAGUGUCAGUCAUAAUAAGCCAGUGUAGAUUCCAAGAAGUUCUGAUCACAUUAAAGAAAACAUGUCAAAUGCAUCGGAAACCAUGGACCGCAGGGAAAAAGUUGUAAUAAGAAUCUUGCAAGAAAGAGCCUGUCCAAUCAGUGAAGGCAGGAGGUAUGUGCCAGGAUAGAAUGAUUUAUGUGGAAAUUUUGAAAACCUAAUACACACCCUAUUUAAAUUAGUGGAUCAUGGGAAUAAUAUGUGGUUACUAGGUCCAAAGUCAAAAGGAUUGAUUUCCUGUUCUCAAUAGACUAUCAAGUAGGUAGUGAGGAAAUGAGACUAUUCCUCCCAGAAAAAGGAGUGGAUAGGACAGAAUUUCUCAUAAAAGUGAAAUGUGCUCAGAGAUAAGUAGAUUUGAUACCUAAUUUAUAGGCAGUUGAAUGUAAUUGAAAGAGGACAUGUUUUGGUUUUGAAGUCCUCAUAACCUCAGUUCAAAUCCUAGUGUAGCUAAAUACAAGUCAUAUGGCCUUGAGUCAGUUAUUUAAACUCUUGGAAUCUCAGUUUUCUUAUUUGUAAAAUUGGCAUAACCUUUUCUAACUUAUGUUUUUCUGAGGAUUAAUGAUGAAAUGCAUAUGAAAUAUCUAGAGUAGUACCAGGGUAUUAGUGUUCAAAAAAACCUGAUUUUUCUUAAUUGUGACUGUAACUUUCCAAAAGGUAUCCAGUAAUAUCAGACUCAUGUGAGGGCAGCUAACUCUGGUUUGAGAUUAUUCUUGUUAUUACGCAGUUUUGAAAGGUGUAUGUUUCCAAAUUAUUUUUUAAGUCAUUCAACUUUGUAAUUUGUUUCCAUUAUGUAGAUGAGGGUUAAAGCAAUUGUUAUUGCCAAAAUAUAGGAUUACAGGACUUACAAAGUCUUGUAAUCACAUAUUAAAAUUAAAACACACAGACAUACACACAAUUGCAAGAAAAUAACUUUAAAAAUAUUUAUUUCUGAUCAAAAUAAAUGUUAACUUGUGAUAAGGUGUUAGCACAAGUGCUAAUAACUUGUGCAUCAUUCCUUCUGCAAAACCUGCUCCCAGCAAUACGACCAAUCGUAAUGACUGGUGUCAUCUCUUCUGGUCUCAACCCACUUAGUAACUGGUGUUACUGUCUAUCUUGGGGGCCAGUCCAGAAACUGUCCUUGACCCCUGCCUGUCCUUAGCUACCAAUAUCCAAUCACUAGGUACUGUCAACUGUACUCUUAAAUCCUUAGAAUCCAUUCCCAUUACCCCAUUUUAGAGGAGUCACCAUCAUCUCAUGAUAAGAUUCCUACAGCCAAAGUAGUUUCCUUUGCUGAAUAUUUUCCCUCUGUAAUAUUUAAUUUAUUCUACUAACAGAGUAAUAUUUAAAACUAUAAAUCAAAUCACUUCUCCACUUAAAACCCUUCAGUGGCUUCUCAUUGCCCUCAGCCUAUAUCUAAAUUCCAGUCCUAUCUAAGCAAAAGCUUUUCCCGCAAAUGUAUCCAAAGUGAAAAGUUAAGAUUUUAUAUUAUUUCAACAACAUAAUGGAGGGUCAGGAGUUAUAAGGAAAGUCACAGGAAAUCAAAAGUUGCCCCCAUUUUUUUUUCACCUUACCUACAGAAAGUGAGAGAACUCAGGAAUCUCCAAAAUAGUAAACUAAGCUUUAACAGCAAGAGAAUCCAGGGGACUUAGUGAUAGUAAACUACACAUCAUUAUUGCCUACAUCAUGAUAUAAUUAAGGUACUUUUAGAAAAUAUAUAAAUAAAGCAUAGAAAUAACUAUAUGAUUAAUCUUUCCUAUAAUUAUUAAAAUAGAAUGAGAAUACAUAGCAAGAAGGUCAUGCAUUUUUAUUAUGAGUGAUAAAGUGAAUUGAGUAGGCUUUCCACAAAUAUUAUUUGAAUUUGGUUUUGAUAAAACUUCAAAAUCACCACCAACCAUUUAAGAUGUGAUACUAUAAGUUGCUAAACUAACAUAAUUUUCUUGUUUUUGGAAAAUGAGAUUUUAAAAUAUUCAGAUUGCUUUAUCAAAGUGUGAUGUUAUUUAUAUCUGGCCACAAAUAAAAGAAAACGUGUAUUUCAACUAGAGUUUUUAAGCUUGAUUUGCAAUGCUGAGUAUGGAUGCCACAUCUCAAGUGAACACAGUAUGUCUAUUAUAAAGGAUCUAAAGACAGUCAUGGAAUUUUGAAGACAGAAAGGAGAUUAGAGGCUAGAAACAAAAAGAAAUGAUAGUCAAAAUGGAAGAGGAAUAUAAAUCAUAAUAUUCAUGGAGAGUUGUGGUUGAUUAGGAUCAGAAGUAAGAUUGCUAAUAUUUAACAACUGGUAUAGCACCAAACUGGGUGCCAGUCUUACUAUGGAAGCUAAGUCUUGGAAAGUCAGUAUAUUUUCUAGAAGAGUCUGAGAAUCUAUUUCCCAGUGAAGGGCUGAGAUGACUGGGAUGGCUAAAGGUAUAGGAAUAUUAUAACAAAUACUGUGUACUGGUUAACUGUCAACUUUGGAUAUUCCUUACUAAAUUUUCAUUUGAAGAAAGCCAGAGUGUUGAGGACCCAGCCUCAGGUAUGUAGGGAGUUUCACACUAUCAGCAUUUCAGUCAAAACCAUUCAACAGGUCUCUAGGAAGUUCCAAACUUUUCCAUAUCUUCCUGUCUUCUGAGCCCUCUAAGUCUCUAGGAAGUUUCAAACUUUCCUACAUUUGCCCAUCUUCUUCUGAGCCCUCCAAACUGUUACAAGCUCUGCUUGUUACCCAUUUCCAAAGUCACUUUCAUAUUUUUGGCUAUCUUUACAGCAGCGCCCCACUCUCUGCAGUACUGAUUUCCUGUAUUAGUCCAUUUUCAUGCUGCUAUGAAGAAAUUCCUGAGACUAAGUAAUUUAUAAAGAAAAGAGGUUUAAUUGACUCACAGUUUCACAUGGCUAGGGAGGCCUCAGAAAAUUUACAAUUAUGGUGGAAGGCAAAAUAGGUGUGUCUUACAUGAUGGCAGGUGAGAGAAUUGAGAGCAAGAGAAGGGGGAAGUCCCUUGUAAAACCAUUAGCCCUUGUAAGAACUCACUCACUUAUCAUGAGAACAGUAUGGGGGAAACUGCUCCCAUGAUUUGAUUAUCUCCAACUUGUCCUGCUUUGACACGUGGGGAUUAUUACAAUUCAAGAUGAGAUUUGGGUGGGGGACACAGAGCCAAACCAUAUCAGGGACAUUGUUGAAAGGACAUGAUCUCUUUCUAGUUUCUCACCUUAUUCGGUCAGAUAUAGCAGGACAAUGAAUUCCAGUAGAAUCAGCAGGAUUUCUGAAACUUCUUUAUAUCACUUAAAAAGUUGCUAACUCAUUUGUACGUAUUGCGUAUGGUGUGAAAUAGGGACUUUUCCUUUUUUUUUUUCAUCCUAGACAGAUAAUGCAGCAUUCUAGCACUAUUUAUUAAAUACAUCAUUAUUUCCUCAUUGAAUUGAAAUGGCAGUAAUUGGUCUUUGUGACGUUCACGUAUAUAUUUCAAUCUGCCCUUAUAUUGUCUUCUUUUCUACUGAUGUAUUUGUCCUUUCUGUACCAAUUGAUUAAAAUAGCUUUAGGGUAAGUUAUCUUAUUUAGCAUUAGCUCCCUCACAACUUUUUUCAUUCAUACUUCUAUUGGCCAGUCUCAUACCUGAAGUAUUUUAAAUGAGUUUACAAUUAUUUCACUUACCUUCAGAAAAAAAAAAGGAACAAAAACUCUUAAUGACUGGUAACAUGCAAAUUUGAUGUAGAAUUAUUAUUUUUUAAAAUUUAUAUAUUUCUAUUUAUUUUUAUUAAUUUAUUAUUUACACAUUAUUUCACUUAUCUUUACUGUAUUAUAUUGAAUGUUGUUUUAUUCCUGUGUAUCUACCACUUAUAUAAUAAAAUUAAUAAUCAUUUAAACAUAAUUUAAAUACAUAUGGAGACGUAUUUUCAAUUGGGAAGUGAAUGUAAAAGUCAGAUUUACUAAGAUUUGAAACCUGACUCUUCCAUGCCCUAGAUGUACAGUAGUCUUUUGUAAGCUGAUUCACCUCACGGUUUUAAUGCAGCAGUCAAUUCUUUAGAAAACUUCUUUGUUAAGUUCCUAGAUUUUAUAAAGUCAUAUCAUUGCAUUCUUAGAAUAGUAGCAUAAUUGGGACAACGUAAAGUUUCUCUUAGUUGACUAAAAUGAUAUUUUUUGAAGAAAAUUUCUUUAACAAUUUUUGAGAUAACCUAAAAUCUAUGCUGAGUUUCAUCCAGGUCCUCAGAGAAGUAAGUAACUGGAUUGUGUUGAUUUUGCUUUGGGGGAACACUAUUAAUGGAAUUGGACUUUGGCCUUUGGCUUUUUGUUUACAUUGUAGGAACGCUAUAAUAAAUGAAGUGAGGACAUCGCUGAUGUAUCUACUGUAGUGAUAUUGGCAAGUGCCUUGUUUACAUUUUCCUCUCUGGUGUCAAUACCAGCAAUACCUCGGGCCCUCCUGAAUUAUCAGUGGCAUUUUUGUGUAAGGGAUUUAUUUUCAAUAUUGCCAUUGGCUAGUUUCUCUUUGCAAAGGCUAGUAGAAUGCUCAAAAAUAAAAUUUUGAGUUUACUUCUCUUAUUUGGAAAGCAAAUUUUGUAUAUGAAUCUGAAUCUUUGUUUAUUUUACUUCUCUACAUUGUUGCCCUUUGCUUGGAAUUUCUUGGUCCCUUUUUAUCUUCUGUGACUUUUUUUAAGCCACCUAAAAUCAAUUUUGAAUUACAGAAAGGGCAAAAGUAAAUACACAAUUAUAUAAUAAAUGAAACAAUCUUUCUUAGCAUCAGUUGCUUCAAUUAAGACAUCCCUUCUCCUCUGUUUAUUGAAGCCUCUGCAUCAUUAGCAUCUCUGCUUAUUGAAGCUUUUCUUGAUCACUUUCAAAGACAGCACCUGCCCUUGCAACCUCUAUCCAUCUUUCUCACUUUAUUUUUCUCUACUGGACUCACCACUAUCUUGCUUGCUAAAUAUAUAUUUUACUUAUUAUUUUUGUUACUAUUUAUUUUUAUCUCCUUCAACUACAAUGUGGUUUCAUAUUGACUUCUUUAUCUUCAGAGCGGCUGGCACAAAUAGGUGCUCGAGUAAAAUUUAAUGAAUAUCUGCUUCAAAGGUGUUCCAAACAUAGUAAUAAUAUACUUUUGAGACAGUGUGUGACUCUAUUCAGGCUGAAUCUCAAUGGCUUGAUCAAGGCUCACUGCAGCCUCAGCUUCCUGAGCUCCAGGGAUUCUCCUGCCUCAGCCUCCCAAGUAGCUGGGACUACAGGCACGCACCACCACACCAGGCUAGCUUUUUAUUUUUGGAGACAUGGGGUCUCCUCAUGUUGCCCAGGCUGGUCUUGAACUCCUGGGCUCAAGUGAUCCUCUUGCCUUGGCCUCCCAAAGUGCUGGAACACUGUGCCUGGCCCAUAGGACAUAUUAUGAGAUCACUUGUACAGUGCCCAGUACAUUGACCUUCCUUCUUCACAUUUAAAGCAGGCUCAGUCUGAGGGACUCUGGCUGUAACCUACUGUGAUGGGCAUCCCCAAACUCAGGGCUCAGUGGUUGUUUUUCCUAUUUCAACCCAGAUGACAGACAGGGAGGGCAAUUUCUAUUGAAUAUUCAAAGAUGAAAUGUUUUAGAAUAAUAAUCAAACAUAUGUAUUUUAGCUUUGUGAUGGCAGGAAACAACUUUGGGUUACCCUUUCAUAACUACUUUAUAGCUGUGAGUAGCACAAAGCUGAAGAACAAUACCUAUUUGUUGGUAAUGAAUGGAUAAUGAUGAUUAGCAGUAGUUGGCUGGGCCUGGUGGCUCACGCCUGUAAUACCAGCACUUUGGAAGGCUGAGGCAGGCGGAUCAUGAGGUCAGAUCAAGACCAUCCUGACUAACAUGGUGAAACCCCAUGUCUACUAAAAAUAUAAAAAUUAGCUGGGUGUGGUGGCAUGUGCCUGUAAUUCUAGCUACUCAGGAGACUGAGGCAGGAGAGUCACUUGAACCUGGGAGACGGAGAUUGCAGUGAGCCGAGAUUGCGCCACUGCACUGCAGUCUGGCGACAGAGCGAGACUCCGUCUCAAACAAAACAAAACAAAACAAAACAAAACAAACAAACAAAAUAUAUAUAUAUGUUUCUUAAUGGGUUGUUAUCACCCUUAAAAUAUUUUAACUAAUACUUACUUUAAUUCCUCGUAUAAUAAUGUAAGUUGAAUAUUUUUACCAAUCCCCUCAUUGUAAUCCCCAUUUUACAUAUGAGAAAAUGAAGGCUAAGAUAAAUUAAAUAAUAAUUUUUAUAAACUAACACUGGUAAUAAGGACAGAACUUGGACUUGAAACAAAAGGUUUCUGAUUCUAGAACCAUAUGCUUAAAUUUCAGCAUCAUUAUUCUUGACAUGACCUCAAUUCCUUUUUUAUGCCAGUUACAUUUCUUUUGCGUUUCCUCCUAAUUUCCUGCAAUCUUCAGUAAAAGUUUUAACAGGUAAAAGUGUAAAUAGCCCUUUUGAAGAUAUUAAAGCCAAGUUCUAGAGCUGCAAGACUUUCUUUUCCAAGAAAAAAAUAGUUGUAAUAAAAAUGUCUUUUGAGCCCCUUAGAUUGUCUGAUAAGCCCCAUAUAAUGCCUGAGCUAAUCUUUUCUGAAAGCUCUUAGGGCAAAUUGCUGUUAACACUCAGGUCUGACAGUUUAAUGCUAUUACACCACAAAAUAUAUGUCCUUUCCCAAAAUAAACAUGUUUUAUAAUAGUAAUACAAAUGUCGUCAAGGGGCAAGGUUAUCGGGAGAUAAUUAGACUCCAGAGAGAUUACAGGCUCUUAGAUCAUGAGAGUAAUAUAGCGAGCCUGCCUUAUUAAAUAAUUGUAAGAAAGUCAAAGUCAACUAUAAAUACACACAUUUCCCUGUAAUUACUUUAAAAAGUACAAACCCAAGUUGCAUGCCAAUGUGCUGAGAUGAUAAGCCCUCUCUCUCCAUUACCUUAAAAUGUCUAAAUAUAACCUAGAAAAUCAACCUUCAAUUUGAAUUUUAAAUAAGAAUGAAAAACGAAAGACACCUCCUUUUUCUUUUGCUAAUAUUUUUAGGUUAGCUGUUUUCAGGACAUUUUUAAAACCUGGCAAAUGAAUGGCUGGGUUUCAGGAAAUAAUCCACCAUCCAAGUUCAUACUCCAUUAAAAAAAAAAAGCUAACUACAUGCAAUUCUUCUGCAUGUAGCUCUAUUUAUUUACACCUAAUAUACCCCUGUCCUGAAAGAUCAUCGUCUCUCUAGAUAUUAAAUGUGCAAAUAGAAUUUAACAUUUUCUUCCAAAAUAGUUUAUUAUAACCUUUGUGAUGUCUUCUCUUACUACCACUACCUACCCCAUCUCCUCAAUAUUCAGACAUUUAAAUAUUUCUUUUUUAGCAUUUCAAUAGCAUCUUAUGAUAAGUUCUAUUAACAAUUAUCUGAUUACAUUAUAUUGUCCAUGAGCAGAUUUUUGUUCAUAUUAGAUUAAGAAAAAAUGCAUACAUUUCCAGCUCCUGCUGUAGUGCUUACCACAAUGCAUUUGCUCAAUAAACAUUUACUGAAUAAAUAAAUGAAGAAAAAAAGAAGGUGAGGUUGUCCAAAGCAGAUUAAUAAAAUCAACCAUGCUGUGCAUGAGAAAUUAUUUUCCAUUGAUGACAAGUUUUUUGUUCACUGCUUCUACUCUUAGUCCCAGAGUGAGGCUAUUAGCUCUCUUCUUCUAGGAGAAGAUAUAUAUUCAAGUGGAAGAUUUGCAACCUUGAGAGUCACAUUCCUAUAUAAGCAGCUCAAAUUUACAUAUAAGCUCCCUGAAAGACCUGAAGUGUUGUAUUUGGUCCUGCAUCCCCAACACCUAGAACAUUGGCACAAGCUGGUUAAUGCCUGAUUCCAAACCUGCAGGAAUUCAUUUUCAUCUUUUUCUCUUAAAAGUUUUCUAAAGUUUUUUAGGGUAUUACAAAUAAUUAGUGAUAUAGCUGAAAUUUAGAUAAUAAGAUUUUAUGUGUCCAUGUAUGCGCAUUCUCCCUGAUAUUAUUUCCAGUUGGCAGUCAGCCCCAUUUAAUACAAUAAUCCUGUAUUAGGUUUCUCCAGAGGGAAAGAACUAAUAGGAUAUAUGUAUAUAUGAAAGGGAGUUUACUAGGGAGAAAUGGCUCACAGGAUCACAAGGCAAAGUCCCCUGAUAGGCUGCCUGCAAGCUGGGGAAGAAAAAAGUCAAAUUCUGUUUGGCAAGUUUAAUAUAGGAAGAGAGGAUGAUCUUUCAGGACAAGGAUAUGUUAGGUAUAAAUGUAUAGAGCUUUGUAUUAGAAGAAUUGCACGUAGUUAGCAUUUUAUUUUUUUAAUGCAGUAUGAACUUGGAUGGGUGGAGUAUUUCUUGGAAUCCAUCCAUUUAUUUGCAGGAUUUAAAAAUGUCCUGAAAACAGUGGCUCAGUCUGAUUCCAAAAGCUUUCAAAGUAGGGAAGCCAACAGCACAGACUUUGGUCUGUGGCAGAAGGCCCAAGAGCCACCAGCAAACCACUGGUGUAAGGCCAAGAGUCAAGUGGCUGAAGAACCUGUAGUCUGAUGUCCAAGGGCAGGAGAAACAGAAGGAGGCAUUUAGCAAGGGAGGAAAAUGAAAGAGAGAAGUCUCAGUAAGCCAGCUUAUCCCACCGUCUUCUCCUGCUUUGUUCUAGCCAUGCUGGCAGCCAAAUGGAUGGUGCCCAUCCACAUUGAGGGUGGGUCUUCCUCUCCCAGUCCACUGACAAAAACAUUAAUCUCCCCUGGCAACACCCUUCCAGACACACACAGGAACAAUACUAUACCAGCUAUCUAGGUAUUCCUCAUUCCAGUCAACUUAACACCUAAUAUUAACCAUCAUGCCACCCCAAAAUUGUUCCUUAUCUUUGCAUUUGAAAUUUUCUGGAAUCUUAAAAGAAAUAUGAAAUAUCUCCACCUCUUGGGGCAUUGAAAACAUUGUAUACAUUCAUGAUUCUGAAAUUCUGCCCUAACGAAUGAUCUGGUUAUUAUUUUUUACUGAUAAUACAGCAGCAACCUAACAGAAGUCAUUGAAUAUAAAGCCUUUUUAGGCUCAUGGUAUCCAUGAGCUGAGUCAACAGAGAAUACAAAAGUUAGACUUAUCCCAUUCUUUUCUACUACCAUAUAGUUUUUUUUUCUUUUUUUCUUUUCUUUUCUUUUUUUUUUAAAUUAUACUUUAAGUUCUAGGGUACAUGUGCACAACGUGCAGGUUUGUUACAUAUGUAUACAUGUGCCAUGUUGGUGUGCUGCACCCAUUAAAUCGUCAUUUACAUUAGGUAUAUCUCCUAAUGCUAUCCCUCCCCCCUCCCCCCACCCCACAACAGGCCCUGGUGUGUGAUGUUCCCCUUCCUGUGUCCAAGUGUUCUCAUUGUUCAAUUCCCACCUAUGAAUGAGAACAUGCAGUGUUUGGUUUUUUGUCCUUGUGAUAGUUUGCUGAGAAUGA
rnacentral:lncRNA from 1 species